GCCUUCGUGGUGUAGUGGUCAGCACGCUCGACGCGUAACCGAGAGGUCCGCGGUUCGAUUCCCGCAGAAGGCG
rnacentral:tRNA from 1 species